rnacentral:misc_RNA from 1 species
GAUGAAGAACGCAGCGAAAUGCGAUAAGUAAUGUGAAUUGCAGAAUUCAGAAAUCAUCGAAUCUUUGAACGCACAUUGCGCCCCCUGGUAUUCCGGGGGGCAUGCCUGUUCGAGCGUCAUUUCACCACUCAAGCCUCGCUUGGUAUUGGGCAACGCGGUCCGCCGCGUGCCUCAAAUCGACCGGCUGGGUCUUCUGUCCCCUAAGCGUUGUGGAAACUAUUCGCUAAAGGGUGUUCGGGAGGCUACGCCGUAAAACAACCCCAUUUCUAAGGUUGACCUCGGAUCAGGUAGGGAUACCCGCUGAACUUAAGCAUAUCAAUAAGCGGAGGA